rnacentral:misc_RNA from 1 species
GUUGUUUUUGGAUCCAAAAGAACCGGAUUUUGAUGAAUUGGUACAAAAAGUGAAAGAAAUUGUGGAAAGCAAUGAGAGUAGAAGACUUCCCAAACUCCCAAAGGUAAUAAAUUCUGAUAAUAAUUUCACGUUUAUUUGAUUCUGCUUUUGGUUCUCAUUGGAGUCCUGUUUUAUCUUUUUUGUGAAACCUUUUAAAUUGAAGUGAAUCAUUAAAUGUUGAUGCAUGUCCCAAUCAAGUAUGGUUUGAGGAUCAUAUUAAGAAUAAUGAUAAUGAUACUGAGAGAGAGAGAGGAUGCAGGGUUUAGUGAUGGUGAAUAAUACCAUUCAUUUGGAAGUUAGAACAAUGAUGGUCGUACACCACAAAGAUAUUGACUGUUCAACAAUCUUGAAAAUAUCAUGUCUUUUUUUAGUAAUUGGAGAUUGUAGGCAGCUUGAUCGGUGUUCAUGGUUUGUUUAUGAGAGUUACAGUCAAUGGACAUAGGGGAGUGAAUUAUGCAUGCAAAGCACUGUUACACAAAAUCUUUUUUUGGGGUAAGAUUUGGUUCAAUGAAUUCAAUUUUGUUCCCUGAUAAUGUUAAAGGUCAAACAAAUUUAGAAUAGUGUGUAAUUUAGACCUUUAUUGGUGGAAUUGGUAAAUGUUAAUAGACGUUAAAGAGACAGAUCAAGUGUAGGUUUUAGUUAAGUACACCUUUUCCCUCUAGUUUGUUUUUCUUCUCCUACUUGGUUAUCUUUGAUCCCUAUGUUGACGCUCCAUAUUUUAUUUCGAUUAUUCUCUCUCUCUCUCUCUCUC